AAGAAUUAUGGAAGAAUGGAAAAGCAAACCCUAGAUUGGAUAAAAAAGGAGCCUAAGCAUCCAAGAGAUCUUCUCCAAGGAGUCAAAACUAGGUCUGGCCGCCCCUUUCUGUCAAAAGAAUACAUCUAAACUCGCAAUAGGGCUACUUAUAGCUAAGAAGCGUCACAGAAUUUAGGCCCAAGCCCAGCAGACAACCGCCC
rnacentral:lncRNA from 1 species